CUGAAUAUCGGCCAAUUCUGAUUGCUGGCCGAUCCAUCUGGGCAUCCCUAACAUGAGCUGUUACUUUCACUCACAUGGUAUUAACACUCUGACAUACUCACACAUCUCAGCUCCAGUUCCUGUUUUCCCUUUAAAUCUCAGUCUCUAUCUGUCUGUGUUGUGUUGCAUCAGGAGAGGAGCCUCCCGAGUAUCAUUAAUCCUGUCUCACUCAAUGCUGUUCACAGUGUCAAAUACUUCAGUAGCUACUACAGUAACUGAAUGGGCUUCUGAUCCAGUUUCUCUUUGUGUUGGACUCCUACAUCCAGAUCCUCCUCACGUCAGGAGAAGACACAGUAUGGAGAGAUAUGAACAAAACAUGGGAGGAGAGACUCCUGUAGAUGUGGGAGGAGAGAGUCCUGGUGGUUCCAGUGUAGCCGUCUGAAGGAGAGAAGAGGAGGAGGCUGGUGUGGUGGAAAAUAUGUGAACAGAAAAACUCAUAAACCAAUGUAUAAUAACCAGGGCUGGGCACGUUAACACGUUAUUAUUGCGUUAAAGUAACACUAUGCAACAAUUUGACACUUUAUGAGGUAUGCCUUUAUAGGCAACUAGUUUUGGUA